AACGAACGCUGGCGGCGUGGAUAAGACAUGCAAGUCGGACGAUCAUUACAGGGUAGCAAUAUUCUGUAGUGAGAGUGGCGUAAGGGUGCGUAACACGUGGGUAAUCUGCCGUGAAGUCCGGAAUAACUCGCUGAAAGGCGAGCUAAUACCGGAUGUGAUUUCUGGAGGGCAUCCUCCGGAACUUAAAGCUGGGGACCGUAAGGCCUGGCGCUUCAUGAUGAACCCGCGACCUAUCAGCUAGUUGGUGAGGUAACGGCUCACCAAGGCUAAGACGGGUAGCUGGUCUGAGAGGACGACCAGCCACACUGGAACUGAGACACGGUCCAGACACCUACGGGAGGCAG
rnacentral:rRNA from 1 species